UACGUAGGGGGCAAGCGUUAUCCGGAUUUACUGGGUGUAAAGGGAGCGUAGACGGUUUUGCAAGUCUGAUGUGAAAGCCCGGGGCUCAACUCCGGAAUUGCAUUGGAAACUGUAGAACUAGAGUGCAGGAGAGGUAAGCGGAAUUCCUAGUGUAGCGGUGAAAUGCGUAGAUAUUAGGAGGAACACCAGUGGCGAAGGCGGCUUACUGGACUGUAACUGACGUUGAGGCUCGAAAGCGUGGGGAGCAAACAGGAUUAGAUACCCUGGUAGUCCCUGA
rnacentral:rRNA from 1 species